GUUUGGAGUUGUUGGAAGGCAAAGAGCUUCCAGGUGUCCUUGCUCUUGAUGAAGCCAUACCAGUUGCUGUGUAAGAUUAGUCUGAUUUUUUCCCCAUCCCUGCAUUUAGUGCUCUUUAUUGUUCUUCAUAAACGAGAAAGAACUGUUGUGGAGAGAUAUGAGUUCAUGUUGUAAAUUUUUCUCUUUGCCUUCAAUGCCAGAGGUGUCAUUCCAUCUCUCCCUUUUGUUUCUUCAUUUUAAAAUUGCCAAAAACAAACAGCAAGAGCAAAGAGAGGCAGCCAGAUUUUUAAAUAAAGUUCCAUUUUAUUAAUUGUUAUCCAUUGUUUUAUUCAUAGCUUCCAAAAAAUGAAGUUUAUUUUGAUUGAGAAAUACAAGAAUGUAAAUACAAUCCCUACCUUUAUUCUUUUUCUGAAAUUUCAUUGCAAGUCCCAUGCUUGAAGCAAUUUCAGUUAGCAGAAUGUAUGCCCAAAAUUUUAAUUAUGCAGUUAAAAUGUACUGUGAACAUAUAUAUAUAUACACACACACACACACACAUAGAGAGAGAGAGAGAGAAGGGACCCCCAAGUGACAUGCACACAAAAAUCAUCACA
rnacentral:lncRNA from 1 species